UCGGCCUCCCAAAGUGCUGGGAUUACAGGCGUGAGCCACCAUGACCAGCCAUUCCUGAGGUUUUAAUAACCUGAUGUUUCUCUCCUGUUGGAGACAACCCUGAAGAUCAGUUUUUACCCCAGAGGACUGACCAACAAGAGGUCAAGGUGUGCUUGAAAAAGCUGGUGUAGGAGUUGGUUCAGGAAAGGUCAGGCUGUCCAAGCAUUCAGGAAUACCUGUGUGACUCUCCUUGUAAUUAGCACUCAGGUCCCAGAGAGCUACUCACUGCAUGUGUCUUUGACCUGCUGUUGAUUCAUCUCCUCUGCUAAGAAGGUGGCUGAUGGCUGGGCUAUUUACACCUAGGAGGGUGUUCCAGGCCAGGCCCCAGGGAGCCUAAAAUAAUCAAAAAGGACACAUGAACCAUUAACAAGAAAAAUAUUUAAAUAAGAAACUCACCAAGCCAGGAGAAUAAUGAAUACCUGGAUGUGCCCCCUAGGAAUCUGGAUCUCUUCUCUUUUCCCCACCCUGCCCUCAACUCCCCUUACAUACAUACAGCCUGGAUCACAAGACCCAAGAAAACCAUUCCACCAGCUGCUGAGAGAAGAGCCACAAAAGGACCCAGAACUUCUCCAUGGCUACCUUAGAGCACCCUAAAAUGUGCUAACAGCCAUUGUUAGCAUUCAGGAGCUGUUUAUUCCCAUUUUCACACUACACUAAAGAAUUUUAAACAAUCACAAGAUAGACUGGCUGGAAGUUGGUGCUUGGAACAUCCCACGUCACCUAAAAGCACAGUGCUGCAAUCUCAGAAACCCCAGGCUCAGCCAGCAGAGAGAGGAGAAGCAGCUGGACAUUGGAGACUAUGAUUGGACAUUAGAGAGAAGGAGCUUGACUUCACAGAGAAAGCAUGAUGGAAUAAUUUCAGAGAAAAGUCUGGCCAGGGAUGACCAGACUUCAGGGGAAGAUAAUCUUGCUCAAUAUCCUUUUCUGCUCCCCUUCCUGCUGAGAGUCACUUUGAUUGGCAAUAAAAUAUCUCACAUUUACCAUC
rnacentral:lncRNA from 1 species